AUCUGGUUGAUCCAGCCGGUAGUCAUGUGCUCGUCUCAGAGAUUAAGCCACGCAUGUCUAAGUACAUACCUCAAAACGGUGAAACCGCGAAUGGCUCAUUCAAUCAGCUAUGGUUCCCUAGAUCGUACAUACUACAUGGAUAACUGCAGCAAUUCUAGAGCUAAUACAUGCCACUAUGCCCUGACCUGCGAGGGGACGGGUGGAUUUAUUAGAACAGAACCAACCGGUUGUGGCUCCGGUUGCAUCCGUUGUACUCUGUGAUGACUCUGGAUAACUUCAAUGAUCGCGUCGGCCUUGUGUCGGCGACGGAUCUUUCAAAUGUCUGCCCUAUCAAUUUACGAUGGUAGGUGACCUGCCUACCAUGUUGAUAACUGGUAACGGGGAAUCAGGGUUCGAUUCCAGAGAGCGAGUCUGAGAAACGGCUACCACUUCCAAAGAAGGCAGAUCACCCAAUCCCGACACGGUGAGGUAGUGACGAAAAAUACGAAUACGGGACUCAACAGAAACUCCGUAAUUCGAAUGAGUACAAUUUAAAUCCUCUAACGAGGAUCAACUGGAGGGCAAAUCUGGUGCCAGCAGCCGCGGUAACUCCAGCUCCAGAAGCGUAUAUUAAAGUUGUUGCAGUUGAAAAGCCUAUCUUUUCUGUAGGAGCUGAGCCGAGGACCGAACAUCGACCGGCAUCUGGUCGAUCAGCCCAAGCAUCACUAGGCAACGGCCUGGUCUGUGUGUCAAGUGGUAGGCAGUGUGAUAUCUGGCUAGGGAGUUGAGAUAGAGUAUCCGGCCUAAGUCUCGUCAACCAAGCAAGCUAACCCGACGCUUGGAAAUCUGGGACUCCCCCUUGUUGACCUCUCCAAUGUUCUCGACCACGACGAAUCGACUAGUCAAAGUGUCAUCGCUAUAGGACUGGUCGUUUGAGAUUAGGUUUGAGAAAUGUCUCCCAUAAACGACAACCGUGGUUUUCUCGUGAACGAAGUGAGCUAGAGCGGUGUUUUUAAAUCUGGUCCGCCCACCGUUGGUCCCCCUAACGUUUCAGACCACAAGGAGUUUAUUGGUAUCAUUAUCAGCCCUCGAGGACCACCGCUUCAUAUGUUCGGUUUGGGAAAAAUUUCCCGCUAUUUCCCAAUUUCGUGUCAUUAAAAAGUGCAUGCUGGCUUUCUCGCCACUCGCAAGCAAUCAGUAGACUGGGGUUUUCGAUACACUUUUCUCAAGGUUGGUGUCGUUUUGUCGUUCUUUUUCAACGCUUCUCAAUUGUUCUGUUUGCCAUUCCCCGCCCCAUUCAAUGUUCCCGUAGUUGCUCAUUGCGUUGUUACCCAGACUCACUUCUUGUCAUUAUUGCUUUGCGUAGUAAUUUGAUUUCCCCUCAGACGACAUCACUUCUAUUGGUGGUUCUUCUCGCUUUUGGCCAAUCUGCUCCGGUUUCGCGUAUCCGUUUCUGUAUAUCAGCCUUUGAACACAUACUGCUCCCGCUAAGCGUAAGCCUGCCCCACACCUCGCCAUCCCCGUUUCCCUCCCGCGAGUAAUCACGGCCAAGGGCGCAUUCGGCCACUCCCAUAACCCACUUCAGCAAAUAGCCUAGCACCUCCUUUGGUAGCCACGAGCGGGAACCUACGAACGGUUCGUGGCGUGGAUAUCCUCCGUCUUCCCAA
rnacentral:rRNA from 1 species